ACCAGGGAAGUCCCUGUCUUACCUUUUAUAUUUAGAUCUAUAAUCCAUAUAGAAUUGGUUUUUGUAUACACUGGGUAUUGGUUUUAUAUACACUGGGCAGGGUUUUAAAAAUGUGUGUUUUAACCAAAUGGAUAUCCACAAGAACCAGCAGAACUUAUUUAAAAGAUCAUCCUUUCUCUAUUGCACUGCAGUGGCACCUUUGCUGUAAAUCAGGUAGAAAGAAUGACGGAUGACAACCUUAAUCAAAUCAGAGACUGUGCUAAAUUGAUGCUGGGUUGUAAUUUUGAUAAAAUUCUGUCUACCUCCAGCCUUCCUCUAUAUCUAUAAUGUGUGUGUGUGUACAUACAUAUACAAAGAUAUAUAUAAUAAUGUUAUAUGUAUUCUGUAUUAUAUAAUUCAUGUGUCACUAAAAUGGAAGAGAUAAAUAUUUUAAAAUUU